rnacentral:rRNA from 1 species
AUUGAACGCUGGCGGCAUGCCUUACACAUGCAAGUCGAACGGUAACAGGCCGCAAGGUGCUGACGAGUGGCGAACGGGUGAGUAAUACAUCGGAACGUGCCCGAUCGUGGGGGAUAACGCAGCGAAAGCUGUGCUAAUACCGCAUACGAUCUACGGAUGAAAGCGGGGGAUCGCAAGACCUCGCGCGGACGGAGCGGCCGAUGGCAGAGUAGGUAGUUGGUGGGGUAAAGGCCUACCAAGCCGACGAUCUGUAGCUGGUCUGAGAGGCCGACCAGCCACACUGGGACUGCGACACGGCCCAGACUCCUACGGGAGGCAGCAGUGGGGAAUUUUGGACAAUGGGCGCAAGCCUGAUCCAGCCAUGCCGCGUGCAGGAUGAAGGCCUUCGGGUUGUAAACUGCUUUUGUACGGAACGAAAAGGUUUCUCUUAAUACAGGGAACUGAUGACGGUACCGUAAGAAUAAGCACCGGCUAACUACGUGCCAGCCGCCGCGGUAA